rnacentral:rRNA from 1 species
UCCGUAGGUGAACCUGCGGAAGGAUCAUUAUUGAAAUAAACCUGAUGGGUUGUUGCUGGUUCUCUAGGGAGCAUGUGCACACCUUGUCAUCUUUAUAUCUCCACCUGUGCACUUUUUGUAGACCUUUCAGGUCUAUGUUGCUUCAUUUACCCCAAUGUAUGUUAAUAGAAUGUUGUGCCUAUAUAAUAUAUACAACUUUCAGCAACGGAUCUCUUGGCUCUCGCAUCGAUGAAGAACGCAGCGAAAUGCGAUAAGUAAUGUGAAUUGCAGAAUUCAGUGAAUCAUCGAAUCUUUGAACGCACCUUGCGCUCCUUGGUAUUCCGAGGAGCAUGCCUGUUUGAGUGUCAUUAAAUUCUCAACCUUGUCAGCUUUUGCUGAUAGUGGCUUGGAUGUGGGGGUUGCUGGCCUGGUCAGCUCCCCUUAAAUGCAUUAGCUGGUGCCCCGUGUGGACUUGUCUAUUGGUGUGAUAAUUAUCUACGCCGUGGAUGGUCUGCAAUCAUCACCGCUUCUAACCGUCUCCGGACAAUACAUGACAAUUUGACCUCAAAUCAGGUAGGACUACCCGCUGAACUUAAGCAUAUCAAUAAGCGGAGGA